UACGUAGGGGGCAAGCGUUGUCCGGAUUUAUUGGGCGUAAAGAGCGUGUAGGCGGCCAGGUAGGUCUGCUGUGAAAACUCGAGGCUUAACCUCGAGCUGUCGGCGGAAACCAUCGUGGCUAGAGUCCGGAAGAGGAGAAUGGAAUUCCCGGUGUAGCGGUGAAAUGCGCAGAUAUCGGGAAGAACACCCGUGGCGAAGGCGGUUCUCUGGGACGGUACUGACGCUGAGACGCGAAAGCGUGGGGAGCGAACAGG
rnacentral:rRNA from 1 species